rnacentral:misc_RNA from 1 species
AACGCACAUUGCGCCCUCUGGUAUUCCGGAGGGCAUGCCUGUUUGAGUGUCAUUAAUCUCUCACAAAACCUUUUGGUUUCUGUUGAUGUUGGGAGUUGCGUUUCCUUGCGAGACGCUCUCCUCAAAUGUAUUGGUGCGGCCUGCCGCCCGGUUACACAACGUUCUAGGUUCGUCCAACUCGUUGCCAAAUCGGUGCACCUUUUGGUGCUGCACCUAAAGCCCGCCUCGUGCCUUGUGCUCUUGGUUUACUUCAUUUAUUGACCUCAGAUCAGGUAGGAAUACGCGCUGAACUUAA